rnacentral:rRNA from 1 species
CCUACGGGUGACAGCAGUCGGGAAUAUUGCGCAAUGGAGGAAACUCUGACGCAGCGACGCCGCGUGCAGGAAGAAGGUGUUCGGAUUGGAAACUGCUUUAGACAGGGAAGAAAAAAGACAGUACCAGAAGAAUAAGCUCGGGCUAACUACGUGCCAGCAGCCGCGGGAAUACGUAGGGAGCAAGCGUGAUCCGGAGUUAGUGGGGGUAAAGGGUGCGGAGACGGCGAAGCAAGUUGGUUGUGACAUCCCUCGGCUUAACUGCGGAACUGCACCUCUAACUACUUCCCUUGAGUACUGGAGAGGCAAGUGGACUUCCUCGUGUAGCGGUGCAAUGCGUAGAUAUUAGGAGGAACACCAGUGGCGCAGGCGCCUUUCUGGACCGUAACUGACGUUGCUGCACGAACGUGUGGGGAGCAAACCGGAUUCGAUCCCCUUGUAGUC